rnacentral:rRNA from 1 species
AGUGGCGAACGGGUGAGUAACACGUGACCAACCUGCCCCGCACCCCGGGACAACCGCCGGAAACGGCGGCUAAUACCGGAUACUCCGGGCCUCGCGCAUGCGCGGCCCGGGAAAGCCCAGACGGUGCGGGAUGGGGUCGCGGCCCAUUAGGUAGUAGGCGGGGCAACGGCCCACCUAGCCUGCGAUGGGUAGCCGGCCUGAGAGGGCGAUCGGCCACAUUGGGACUGAGAUACGGCCCAGACUCCUACGGGAGGCAGCAGUGGGGAAUAUUGCGCAAUGGGGGCAACCCUGACGCAGCAACGCCGCGUGCGGGACGAAGGCCUUCGGGUUGUAAACCGCUUUCAGCAGGGAAGAACCAUGACGGUACCUGCAGAAGAAGCCCCGGCUAACUACGUGCCAGCAGCCGCGGUAAUACGUAGGGGGCGAGCGUUAUCCGGAUUCAUUGGGCGUGAAGCGCGCGUAGGCGGCCCGCUAAGCGGGACCUCUAACCUGGGGGCUCAACCUCCAGCCGGGUCCCGAACUGGCGAGCUCGAGUGCGGUAGGGGCAGGCGGAAUUCCCGUUGUAGCG